rnacentral:rRNA from 1 species
UACAGAGGGGGCUAGCGUUAUUCGGAUUUAUUGGGCGUAAAGGGCGCGUAGGCGGCCUGGCAAGUGGAAGGUGAAAUCCCUCGGCUUAACCGAGGAACUGCCUCCCAAACUGCUUGGCUUGAGACCGGGAGAGGUGAGUGGAAUUCCCAGUGUAGCGGUGAAAUGCGUAGAUAUUGGGAGGAACACCAGUGGCGAAGGCGGCUCACUGGACCGGUACUGACGCUGAUGCGCGAAAGCGUGGGGAGCAAACGGG